rnacentral:tRNA from 1 species
GCCCCGUUAGCUCAGUGGUCAGAGCGCGUCAUGUCUUCUUUCUCUCUCAUUCCUAAAUCCUAAAAUCUUCUUUCACUCCGACUCCGUUCCUAAAUACCUAAGAUCUUCUGGCAAGACACUGGUUCGAAUCCAGUACAGGGCA